AAGUGAGAAGCAAAUAUUGCAAUCAGUUUCGACCUGAUCCUUGAUACUAACCAUAUCCUUACUUU
rnacentral:tRNA from 2 species